CCCCGGCCGCCUCCUGACCCCACGAGGACCCCAGCCCUGCCAGCGGGAGAUGACGGCAGCGCAGACCCUGCGGCACGGCCUCAGCCGGGAGCCGCGCUGGUCAGAGAGCCCUCGGCACCGACAGACGCUGCCACGGAGCCCCAGGUGCGGAGGGCUGGCCCAGGCCACGGCACCUUGCCUGACGGAUGACACACACACCCCACCACGCCGACCCUACGAGGCCCCAGCUGGCCUCGGGAUGAUGGAGAGAACUAGGCUGGGCCGGGGGUCCUCUCCAUCUCACAGAAACGGAAUUCCAGCGUCACUUCAGCAAGAUCGGACACGCGGACACUCCGGGUCCCCGGGCCGACGACAAGCUGCGACGUGUCACUGCUCUGCAGGCCACUCUCUCGUCCUUCUCAGAGCCCACCCAGCGCCUCGCCUGGCCCGGCCCGGGGGCCCCCGCAGCUCUGGGAGGUGAAGUCCUUCUCUCUGGAGGCCGCAGCUGUGGCGCAGCAGGUUAAGCCACCAGGCCAGCUCCCUGCCAAUGCGCCCGGGAAGGCAGUGGAGUGCGUGGGCCCCUGCACCCGUGUGGGAGACCCCGAUGGAGCUCAGGCUGCUGGCUUCCGCCUGCCCAGUCCCAGUCGUUUUGGCCUCGCAGCGUGUGAAGCAGCGGUGGACGGCCGGUCCCUCUCCCCGUCGCCCUCUCUGACACGCUGCCUUCCUCUUCAGUCUCCUCCGCCGGGCCACGGUGGGUCUCGGCCUCAGCGCUCAUCUCGUGCCGUGAAGUGGCGGCCGCUGGCUCCCCCGUGACGCGGGAGGAAGAGGGGGGGCUGUGACCCCCAGGACGGGGCCCCGUCUGAGAGCCAGUGCAGCGGUCACUGAGGAAGGCUGGGGGCAGUGGCUGGAGGGAGUGGCUCCCAGCGUGACCAGGGGACCCUCCAGGGUGCCCGCGAGGCAGAGCUGCCAUCUGCACUUUUCACUCUGGGUCCCCUAUAGCUUCGGGCUCUCUCUCCCCACCCCAGGGCCUGGUCAAGGCCAGCCUGGGUGGCCCUGGGGAAGCCCCUGCGGCUGUGCGGGGUCCAAGGCCCCACUGCGCUCAGCUCUACCACAGGUGGUCGGUACAAAGCUUGGGCCAAAACCCGGGACAAGCGGAACUGAACCCCACCGCGGAGGGCAUCCCCUGUACCACAGGCACAGCCAACCAGCUCCUUCCAGGAGAGGAGCGGAGCCCAGGGAGGGGCAGCGAUUUGCCCAAGGCCACAGAGCAGGCCAGGGCAGGCAGGCGGAGGGCCAGGAGUCAUGCAGGGCUCGAAGCCCACCCCAGCGCCCUGCGGCCCAGGGCUCUCAGCACCGCACGUGCAACUCGGGCCCCUCCAGCUCCAGGCCAAGCCCGGGCCUGUGUCUUCCCAGGCUCGGUGGCUUCCAAGCUCUGCCCCGGUGAAGGGAGCCCUCGGGCCUGGAGGAAGCAGCUCCGGGUGGGGGUGCUCGGGCACGCCAAGUUCUGGGUUCCGAGCCCUGGUCCCCGCCUGGCUGCGGGCACACUUACGGCAUCUCCAGGGGACCCACUGACCUG